AAUUUAGAUGCAGGUGAAAAAAAGUUUGUGGUCAUGUUAUGAACAUAUAUUGCAAUCCAAGAAGCUGGAGGAACAUACUUGGGUAUUUCCAAUAAAGAUUUUCAUAGCAAACAAUUCUAUAGCACUUAUCACAGUUUUUGGAGGUGUAGCUGCUAUUAUGUUCUCCAGUUUAUAGAUGGGAAAACUCAAGCACACCAACAUUUCAGACCUGGUUAAGUGAUCAGGUUGAAAUCUCAGGUGCUUUGACUUUAGAAUUGGUGCCAGUUUCUCACCAGGGGCAUAAUUGAUGUUUGGGGCUGCAUAAUUGUUUUGUGGGAGCUGUCCUGUUGACCCUUAAAAAGUUUAGCAGCAUCAUUAUGUUCUAUGUGCUAGAUGAUGCCAGUAGCAUCUCCCUACCCUCCACUGUGACAACCAAAAAUGUCUGGGGGCAAAGUUUCCACCAGUUGAGAACCACUGAUCUGUGCUUUCAGGCACAAAAAUGAGAUAAAGAGACCAAAAGCUUUAAUUCUGGGUAUCUGUCUUUUCUCUGAAAUCAGUCACCUGGCAGAUUUGUGGCUGGUCUUGUAGCAACAACAGUGGCAUACCUAGCUCUGUUUUAAGAGGGCAAGAAGGCUCGAAGCAGCAAAGCAAAAUAUUCUAUCUUGUCUUGAUUCAAAUAAGCAUCCCAUAGUAGGGGAGAAUAGGAGAGGAAGAGAAGGACUUUUCAACUGAGAUACAAACAAGAAAAAUGAGGUUUUUCUUGAUGUUUAAAGAUGUGAGAUUAAUGAUAUAUAUGGGAAAAUUGCUGUUUUACUCCAAUGACCAGGCUGUUACCUCAGUAACAUACUCAUGGGAUAUUUUCCUUUCAAAUAACUAUUGUCCUUUUAAUUCUGUAAGCCAGUCCUUGAGCCUAAAAAUACCUUGCAGACUUCUUUGCAAGUAUUUAAAAGCCUUUCUUAAAAUGCUCUGGUGUCUUGAGUUUUCCUUCGACAAGUGAAGGUUACACUGGAUGCCCAGGUGACUCACCUGCACUGACUUAACCUCCAGGGAUGAGCCUCAUUCAACAAUUGGUGUUUUCACCCUUGCUGAUUGCUUCCUUUCCCCUUUCCACUCCUGCCUCCCACCCCCAUUCUUUCUCUGGUUCUUUUCCUGAGUCUUGGUCAAGUCUAGUUCUGAUUUUGCUUUUCUUUUUAGGGCCACACCCUUAGCAUAUGGAAGUUCCCAGUCUAGGGGUCUAAUCAGAGCUACAGCUGCUGGCCUACACCAUAGCCACAGGAGUGCCAGAUCCACGCUGCAUCUGUGACCUACACCACACUUCAGGGCAACGCCAGAUCCUUAACCCACUGAGCAAGGCCAGUGAUAGAACUCCAUGUCCUCAUGGAUCUGAGUUGGGUUCGUGACUGCUGAACCACCACUAUGGCAACUACCUGGUUCUGAUUUUGAUUUAGCCCACAGCACAACUGUUGUGUUUCUCGAUUGGUGAAAGCAAUGUUGGGAAGUUGAUAUUUUAUAGUCUGACCUUGUGAUUCUCAAGCAGCCAUUUGCCUUUUUUGUUUGCCUGUCCUGAGGAUUCUUAAAUAUCUUAACUGGCUUUUCGGAGUAGGUUUAGCAGGCCACUUGCUGGUCUCACCUGUGGGAUUAAGUUCACGUUGUAGUCUACACCAAUAAUGGUGUUUCUUCUGCCAGAGGUAGAAGCCUCCGUGUUUGUCGUAUUUACAUAGUACAAUAAGCUGAAAAAAAAAAGGUUUUGUGCCUGCAUGAAACAUAGUGGUUCCCUGCAAUCCUUUGUGUUUCUGACUUCCCUCCUUCCAAAGCUGCUGCAACAAUAUGGUGAGUUUCGUUCUUUAUUUUUGAUUCAAGAGACAAGCAGUUGUUUAAAUGAGGCUGCUACUUCUGUGUGUUUGUGUGUUUGCUCAUAAAUGGGGGAAAAUCUUUUCUGUCUAAAAGAGAGGCAACUAGCCUUUAACAAAUGGUCUGUUUAUAAAGUAGUACUUUGCAGCUGGCAUUCAGCCACUUUAUUGUUUCUCAACUUCUAGAAAUUGAGAACAAAAAUCGAUCACUUACAUGCAGUACUGAGAAUAUCUAAUUCAGAUACACAGAUUAACCAUCAAAUAGAGAAUUUAAACAAGAAUUUCUGAAAAAGUUCAAUGAGUUUCGUAUAGUUAUGGAGUAAGAGUGGUUGAAAUUAAGAAUUUUUCUUGGUUUUUAUAACAGUUUUAUCAAUGAGUGAAUGUGUGUUGGAAUAGGACUGCAGAUUGAAUGGAAAAUACUACUUCUGGCUUGUUACAAGCUUCAUGACUUCCUAUGCAACCUGAUGGAUGUUGAAUAGCCUCAUUUUUCUUUCUCGUUUCUUUAAAAACAAAACUUCAUGAUGAGCCAGAUAAAGAUUCAAAAAAGUGCUUUACAUUAAGAACAAAACACAUGGAGUUCCCAUCGUGGCCUAGCGGUUAACGAACUGGACUAGUAUCCACGAGGACAUGGGGUCGAUCCCUCGCCUUGCUCAGUGGGUUGAGGAUCCGGCGUUGGCGUAAGCUGCUGCAGGCUUGGCUCAGGUGCUGCAUUGCUGUGGCUAUGGUGUAGGCUGGUGACUAUAGUUCCCAUUAGACCCCUACCCUAGGAACUUCCAUAGGCCUCAGGUGUGGCCCUAAAAACACACAUACACGCAAAAACCACACACACAUAUAUACUAAAAUAGCAAGAAGUCCACCACUCAACUCCAGAGUUCCCUUAGCUUGCUCAAGAGUUGGAUAAAAUUCUUCUAUCACAUGAGUAUGAAAUAUUUUCUAAAUGUAUUUGUUGAUAGACUUAUAUACCUUUGCUUAUCUCUGUAGAUAAUUAAUUUUAGAUUAUAAAGUUUAAUGGAACUCUUAAGUUUGAUCUCAUAAAUAGACUAAGGGCUUACAUAAAUUAAAAAAAAAGAACGAAUUAAUUUUUAGAAAGUAAAAAAAAAGUCCAGUGUGUAAGUUUGCUAGCUCUUUAAUGAAACUCAAAUAUUUAUGGAAGGAGGUGGGUGAAAAAUCCAUUCUUUAAAUUAGUGGCCUUGGUUGCUAGGAUAAAACAUAAAAAAACAAAGUUGUGCGUAUGUUACAUGUGUAUAACAAGAAAAAAUAACACCAGGAAAAAUGCUAGUCCUUAUUUUAAUAAUUAGGUUUAUAAAUAUAGAAAAAUCAGAUAAUAUUACUAAACAAGGAGAAUACUUGGACAAGUCAGAUAGUUUUAAUAAUUUUGGUUUAAAACAACUAUAGGUCUUUGCCUUAGUGCAAAAGUAAUAUUACACUAAAGUUUCUAAUUUAUACAAAAUUCAGAUGACUGUUCCUCUAGAAAGCAUAAUUUGAAUGCCAUAAAUUUCCUACACCGAUUUAAUGGAUUAAGUUAGUUACAUUUGUCUCCACAACAUAUUUAAGAUCAUAAAAACUGUGUUUGACUGAAUUAGCAGUUAUCCUCAUGGAACAUUUGUGAGUAGCUGGACAUUUUUGAUUGUUAGGGCUAGAGAAAUUGCUGUUAGCAUCUUAAGGAGGGAUGCUGCUAAACAUCUUAGAGCACUCCUCAACAAAGAAAUAUCUGGUCCAAAGUGUCAGUAGUGCUGAGGUUGCAAAACACUGAACUAAAUGUAAUUAUUAUGGCUUUAUAGAAAAACAAGGACUUAAUCCUCUGAUGUUACAGAUCAUAUAAUAAUGUUAAUGAAUUUACAAUGCCUGUGUAACAAAAUAAAACCUGUCAUACUUUUUUGAAAUUCAUCUGUUGCUUCAUAUAUCAAUAACUCAUCCUUUUUACUGUUAAGUAACAUUCCAUAUAGUGUAGUAUAGUGUGGCUAUACCACAAUUGUUUUGCCUACUCUCCAGAUGAAGGACGUUUGGGUUAUUUCAAGAUUUUGGUAAUUGUGAAUAAAGCUGCUAUAAACGUAUAAUAAAGAAUUUGGUUCCUGCGAGGCAUACUCUAAAUCCAUG
rnacentral:lncRNA from 1 species